GCACCUCUGCAUACCACAUCAUGGCGUCACAGACGAAGUCACCGAUGGGGGCCUGGCCCAGACGGAUAACGUUCUUGUCGGAAACCAGGGUGUGCGACAGAGUGCCCAGUGCGCAGGAGGCGGUGGAGGUGGGCGCCGCGGAGCAGAUGCCGCUGCUGCCGCCCAGGUCGCAGCGGUUGAUGCGGCCCUCGGCAGCAGCGUAGCCGGUGACCUGCAGGGACAGGAAGGAAGAGACAGGCAUGAGGUGCAGUUCGCACGAGCAGGGACUAAUAACAGGGAGCGCAAUGGGAAAGCGAGGGUCGUGUUGUACCACGUCUUAUCGCAGGAAAAGAACCGAUCGGCGGAUGACAGGGAGAUGAAGGCAAAAAUAGCAGGGCCGCUGGUGAAGCUAUACCACCCUGUAACAAUAUCAUAUAUACAUAAUGAUGUGUGAAACAGGGGGGUGUAUCUUCGCCCGUGACAGCUACCCUGCGAACCCUGCCUUCCCCGGUAUUUCGGGGCACCCUCAUCCAGUUACCCUAGUCAACUUCUCAGUGGAUCGCUCAGGUUCCGCACCAAACACCAGCAUCCAACGGAAUCUGCCGGGUCGACAGCGGGCCCAACUCCAUUCCUGGUUGGCUCGCAGGUUAACUUUAUCCCAGGUCACAACCAUCCAUCAGGGGCGCAAUACCUUCCACUAUCGGACAAAUUUUUGACCCUUACGGGUAUCGAUCCCGGGAUCUCCCGGGGGCAAUGGUUGCGCGUUACCAAUAGUGCCAAACCCUAGCAUAUACAUGAUGUAUACACACCUGCCUCUCCCUGAUCUAUAUAAUAAGCCUCACCACCCGGCCCGCCAUUAGACGCCACCGUUGAUCCGGCAAAGUCCACGGGAUAAUGCUGGUGGUGGGUGCUGAACCCCCAAACAUUCACUGACUUCGCAGAAGUCGCCACACAUGCGUGAUGAUGAGGAGGAUGAGGGUGGUGCCCCGAAACAUCGGGGAAGGUGCUUGGGGGACUGCCGGGCUAAUGGCCACGGGUGAAGUUGUUAUACCCCCCACUACUUCACACAAUCAGUGAUCGUGGUUUUUAGAAACUUACAGGCGAAUUGGACAGGAACUCUACCACGGCAUCCACGACGGCAGGUCCUUCGGCCAAGACCGUCUCGGCGGCCGCAAGGACCGCGUAGCCAUCACCACCUAGUCAGAUGGGCAUGGGGGGACCCGGCGGGGAAGGGCGGAAUGUGAGCUGCAUGAGGGAGGAUGCAUAUAACUGGUUCGAAAUGCGAAGAUGCGGUGCAACAUCACUGGCAGCGCAACGGCCCAGGGGAAAGCAACGAAAGAGAACCUCAUCGCGGGAACCUAUUCAUCCUUUUCAUUGCCAGCAGGGUUUAACACCCAACUGUUAUGUACCGUGCACUGUGGUCAUAUAUGUAUGUGUGUAGAAUCCUGGGCAUAUCAUGGGAUCUGCAUCCGCCGAUCGGUAUUUUCUGAAGCCGUGAUAUAACAAUAUGCACGUUUUUGCCAAGCUUCUCAAUGCGUUUCAUUUCCUAAUGAGAACAACCAUGCCUGUAUGUCUGUAAUGAGGCAUUUCCGUAUAAGCUUCCGCAUCUGUACACUUACCCGCUGCCAUAUAAUCGUUGGUCACCAAUGCAUACUUGGCGCAAGGAUCGAUGGGCGAGUACGAACCGUCAGCGUUCUUGACCUCGAUCGCCGACACGCGCUGGUUGACCGGCUUGGUUGCGUCGUACGCAAAACGGAAGCCGCCCACCUGUCGAAUAAGGUGCCACGGCGCACGCGGUGGCCAACAAGUUUUGCUUAAGACCAGUGAGCUUCAAUACGUACUGCUACGUAAUUUUUAUUCCACGAAGAUUCCUGUCCUUGCUGGAGGACAUCGUUACAGACUUCAGCUUUGGCCUUUAGUGCCGAGUUGGAAGCUACAUCCCCCAUCACACACCAGUCAAAGGCCCAGGGGUGUGGCUGCUACUGCUGACGCUGGUGAUAAUGCUGCCGCUGGCGGUACUGCUGACGCCGUUGGUAUUUUGCUGCUGCUACUGCUGUUCUUACUGGUGCUACAGCUACAGUUACAGUUACAGUUACUCCUACUGCUAGUGAUACUGCUAUUGUCACCGUUACUGUUAGUGUUGCUGCUGUUGCUGCCAACUGGCAACCCCACCUGUGCAAAUUGCCCGAGUGCCUCGCCCCCGGCAAUGUUGCCCGCCACGCUGUUCUCGAGAGCUGACUUGAGGCCCGUGACGGAAAUGCUCUUGACCACAAGGGUAUUGCCGAACGGCAGAGCGGCCGCGAUUUGACCUGCGGCAUAGGCAUUUUGCAGGGCGUUACGGUUUGACACUGUGCUUACAAAGUGCAUAGCGAUAUUGAUACUGCAUAUGUGUUAAGUGUGCUUGUUAUGUUUGUAUGUGUCAAUACGUGUACAUAUAAUAAUGCUUCCACAAAUAAUGACAAUAAUAGUAAUUGUAAUAAAUAAUAAUUAAUAUGACAGUUAUAAAUCUAAAAUACAUGUAAAAUACAACUUGAGGUGCGUUCAAAAAUGUAACAAGUGUGAGCCCGUGCGAGCCCAGCCAAGGGCCCAAGGGUCAGACAGAAGGCAGAUCGAGGUAACAAGAUUACAAACCGCACAUAAGGUAAUUAUUGGUCUGCUAAAGAAGGAAAGGGUGGGUUUAAAGCCAUAGCAGUGUGCAGUACGAGUGCAGUUAGAAGAUCGAGCGAAGAAGAUGGGCAGAGAAAAGAGAUGGAAUAACCAAGAUGUUAGGAACAUGAAACACCAUUCCACAAAUUUGAAGAAUGAACAGACGCCCCCUACGGAACGGGACACGUAGCCUUUUCCUUAGAGACGCUGUCUUUAAUGAAGACUGUGCCUCUUGUUUUGUUCAACAAUUUGUAGGACUAUGAAUUAUCGACCUACAAACGGUAGGGACAUGGUAGCUGGGAUGCAGUGCACAUACAUACAGCCCGCGCAAUGAGUACGGUGUUGUACAUUCAGCAUACCUCCGGUCACCAGUCCAGCAGGGAUGUCCGCGCGAAUCGAACCAGAGUUCACCAUGCACAAAUUCGGCCUCGCGCCUGUAGUCAUCUGUUCAUACACGCCACCGUGAGGAGGGAAGAUGGGGGCAAGGAGUAUGCGGGUGGGCUUCCGUUGGCCAAAACACACGAUUAUUUACGACAACACGUGUUCCCGUACACGUACUGCUGCACGCUGUACAAAACUAGAUUGCAGAACCACAGACACACACAGAGGAUAGCAUCACCCGAGUUGGUCCUGCAGGCCGUCUGGAUGCCCGAUGCGGGUUUUAGUACAUGCGGAUUUCGGAGCUGAUUUCACUUUUCCACAGGGCCCCCGGGGGUCCCGUCCUCCAUUACCACACGUGAACCUUCGCGCACCUCCGCAUACCACAUCAUGGCGUCACAGACGAAGUCACCGAUGGGGGCCUCGCCCAGGCGAACAGUGGCCUUGUCGGAAACCAGGGUGUGCGACAGAGUGCCCAGUGCGCAGGAGGCGGUGGAGGUGGGCGCCGCGGAGCAGAUGCCGCUGCUGCCGCCCAGGUCGCAGCGGUUGAUGCGGCCCUCGGCAGCAGCGUAGCCAGUGACCUGCAGGGACAGGAAGGAAGAGGCGUGAGGGCCAUCGGGCAUGAGGAAGACAUGUGUGAGAAGAGCUAAACAUUAGAGGGGAAGAAAAGAUGGGAGAAGGGAGGAACGUGUGCUACGAACGAAAGCAUGUGUGAUGGAGGUGGUCGGAGGCGGCUUAAGGAUAUGCCAGGAAUAGAGAUGAUAAUCGCGAGAUCAUACGAUCAAAUCUUGCUUGAAACAAGACAAAUCAGGGAUAUCAGCGUUAUAAUCCUAUGCGCUGUCCAGGGAUCAAGUAGUAUGAUCAGCCCGAGAUAAGUUCUCAAUGUUGCCUUCGACAUCUGUCUGCGGAUUGAAACGUUCUCCCUCCAAACACAAGCCAUUGAACCAUUUCAAGGUGGAUUACAUGGCGCCGGCGUGAACUUUGCUACGUUAUGCACCACCCUCGUAGUGCGUGAUCCCCAUCACCAGCAGGGGUGAAAUACAAAUGAGAUUAUUCAGUAGGAACAAUAAUGCAGUUGCACUGACCAAAGCUUGGCGUGGGUUAAGGCCGGGGCUCGGGAAUUGAGGGGUAUUUCUGCCCCUAUAUGCCCCUGGGCAACAUCCACUAGGAUAACGCACUUUAAACAAGCACACAAGCACACAUGCAUACACACUAACUUGCGAGCUGACCAGGAACUAAGUUGAGGCGCCGUUGAUCCGCUAGAUUUGGUUGGAUGCUGGUGGUGAGUUGGGAACCCAACGAAUACACUCUGAAUUUGGAUGGGGUGAAUGGAUUAGGGUGCCCCUCUCGCAGGGGAGAGCAGGGAACUGCCUCGGGAAAGGGGGCCGCUGGUGAAGCUUAACCACCCUGUAACAACAUACACAUCCUGCACGCCUCUUGUCCUUCUCCCUCCAUCCCCUACUCGGCCGCAUGCUCGGGUCACACUGAUUUACCAGGCUGGCGCAAAAUCAAUCAGCAAGUAAGGGUUGUAUUCAUAAUAAAAAAAACUCACGGGUGACGUGUACGACAGGAAUUCCUCCACAGCCUCCACAGCAAAAAGCCCCGUCUCCGCUACCGUCUGCGCCGCCCUGAUGGUUAGGUAGCCAUCGCCGCCUGACCAGAGGGAGUGGGGAGGGCCGGGGAAGGGCGGAGAGGGAUAGGAAAGGUAUGGAAUGUAAGGGUGUAUUGGUAGGCCAACAUCAACCCGCAUGGCAUUACAGACCCUAGCACAAGAUCGUGCUAUGCUAGCACAAGAUAGUGCUAUGCUAGCACAAGAUAGUGCUAUGCUAGCACAAGAUAGGGCUAUGCUAGCACAAGAUAGGGCUAUGCUAGCACACGAUACUGUGCUAGGGGGCUCAACAACUCGGCAUCAGGCCCCAAAGCAGCAGCAGUAGCUGCAGCAGCUGCGAAUCCAGUAUGACCCACAGCAGUUUGAAAGUCAGCGGAGGAGGUCAACAGAAGGACAACUUAGGCAGAUGGUGGUUUCUCGCUUUCAAAGAAAGGUCGUAGUGACAGCAGUGUAACAACCAACACGCUGGGCGACGCUGCCAUCACCUGUGUCAACGGGUAUCCUAAUAUUAGGGCAACCACCGCAUCUAGGCCGUACAGCUGUACGGAGCCCGUUGCAAAAGGCCGUGGGAUUCACAGUGUUACCCUAAUAUGUACGGCAGCUGAUGGGUAGCGACGCUACCAUGGUGUGUGUGUAUAUAACAUCACUAGCAGGCACGUGAUGUGUUCUUUUGUCGCCGUCAUACUGCUUGUGUGCCGCCGAUGAUGUUUAUGUGGCCCCCCAACCCCCAUGCUCUUUGUGCCGUUCAAGCCGUACACUUACCCGCCGCCAUAUAAUCGUUGGUCACCAAGGCAUACUUGGCGCAAGGAUCGAUGGGCGAGUACGAACCGUCCGCGUUCGCAACCUCGAUCGCCGACACGCGCUGGUUGCGCGGCUUGGUGGCGUCGUACGCAAAACGGAAGCCGCCCACCUGUCGAAUGAUGUGAAAGCAUGUAGUUACAUUAAAAAACACAGGAAGCUGAGGAAAGCCUUUGUGCACGACCCGGGUGUUUUUUGAGCCUGCUAUUAAGACUACUGCUACCAUCAGCCGUUUCAUUUAUCAAACAGUCGUGCACGCAUAAACGCCGGUACGGCAGACGGCGUCAGGGCAAGAGCUUUGCCCGAGCUUUUUGAGGGAGAACCCGUAGUCUCGUUGAGCUGAUAAUGUCUGUUCCGUCAUUUUCUUCUUAAACUGUAUUUAACUUAAGCAGUGCCGUACAUAUUUCACCACCGGUUUCUUCACGCGGCCCUAAGGUUGGGCACCGGUACCGAUCAGCGGCCCGCCUGGUGUCGCGGUCUUAAAGGAACACCCCAUCGCAGGACGGAUGCGGUUAAUAGUGCCAACUGCCUACUGCCAACUGCCAACUGCCAACUGCCAAAUCGCAGUACGGAAAUGUACAAGUACCAUAGCCUAGUGUCGCCGUCAUGUACCUCGUACACGGCCACCUCACCUGUGCAAACUGCCCGAGGGCCUCGCCCCCGGCAAUGUUGCCCUCAACGCUGUUCUCGAGAGCCGAUUUGAGGCCCGUGACGGAAAUGCUCUUGACCACAAGGGUAUUGCCGUACGGCAGGGCGGCAGCGAUUUGGCCUGCGGUUAGGUGUUUUUAUGUUAUUUUGCACAACACCGUUUUAUUUUAAGUAAUGCAACACUGACACUGUUUUCUGUGUGUGCUGCUAGUUCGGACCGUGUGUUGCAUGAACUGCAUGGGAAUUGUGUCUGUAUUGCGUGACCUUGUCUCCGAUAUGUAAGUGGAGACGGUGGGUGCAUGGUAGCUGCGAUGCAGUGUACAUAUUUAGAACAUGCCUACUGUGUACGACGUCGUACAUUCAGCAUACCUCCGGUCACCAGUCCAGCAGGGAUGUCCGCGCGAAUUGAACCAGAGUUCACCAUGCACAACUUCGGCCGCACGCCUGUAGUCAUCUGUUCAUAGACGCCACAGUUACAGGAAAAGGAGGGAACAGGGGGGCCAAGAGAUAUGCGGGUGGGUUUCCGUUGGCCAAAACACACACACACGAUCAUUUACGACAACUUACAUAUGUUCCCGUGAACAAAAUGCCGCACACUGUACAAAACUCGAUUGCAGAACCACAGACACACAUAGAGGAUAGCAUCAGCCGAGUUGGUCCUGCAGGCCGUCUGGAUGCCCGAUGCGGGUUUUAGAACAUGCGGAUUCGGAGCUGAUUUCACGUUUUUCACAGGGCCCCAGGGGUCCCGUCCUCCAUUACCACACGUGAACCUUCGCGCACCUCGGCAUACCACAUCAUGGCGUCACAGACGAAGUCACCGAUGGGGGCCUCGCCCAGGCGAACAGUGGCCUUGUCGGAAACCAGGGUGUGCGACAGAGUGCCCAGUGCGCAGGAGGCGGUGGAGGUGGGCGCCGCGGAGCAGAUGCCGCUGCUGCCGCCCAGGUCGCAGCGGUUGAUGCGGCCCUCGGCAGCAGCGUAGCCGGUGACCUGCAGGGACAGGAAGAGGGAGCCGUGAGGGCCAUCGGGCAUGAGAAAGACGCGUGUGUGUGCACUGCGGCUCCAACCGCCCCACAUACAACGUAAUCACUAGUCACGCCAUACGUGCUUUAGACGCUAUAAAUGUUUAGACGCUAUACCUAUCUACCAUACAGGAUAUGCUCGGUACGCGACUUAUCGUACACGCGGCAUAUGCUACAUAUCCUACAUAUGCUACAUAUGCUACACAAGGGUUAUAGCGUAUAAGCGACCUAUGAGACACCAGAGGCACACUCGGUAGCAACAGCGGUAAAAGUACACGUUCCAAAGCCUGGCGUGAAUGGGGGCGCGGGGACCUGCUGAGGGGCGAAUGGGUCCCCGCGUAUCCCUUGGUACCACCUACGGGGGAUUCAACGCGCACAUACACACACACAGACAGACACACAGACACACAGACACACACACACACAGCCACGCACACACACAGACACACACACACAGACACACAGACACACACACACAGCCACGCACACACACACACAGACAGACACACAGACACACACACACACAGACACACACACACAGACACACACAGACACACACACAGACACACACACAGACACACACACAGACACACACACACACACACACACACACACAGACACACACACAUAUAUGCGUCCGCAUCCCUUCUCACUGCUAGGUUACAUGUCAGGGUCGGGCUGCUUUAAAAGGCUGCACACAAAACCAGUCGGCAAGUAGUGGUGGUUACUGUGCGCAUGGAGUACUCACAGGUGAACUGUACGACAGGAACUCCUCCACAGCAUCCACAACAAAGAGCCCCGUCACCGCUGCCGUCUGCGCUGCCCUGAUGGUCAGGUAGCCAUCGCCGCCUGACCAGAGGGAGUGGGGAGGGCCGGGGAAGGGCGGAGAGGUAGGUUAAGGGUGGGAUGUAAGGGUGUAUUGGUAGGCCAACAUCACCCCCAUUUCAGGACAGACCCUAGCACAGGACAGUGCUACGUGUACUGUGCUAGGGGACUCAACAACUCGGUAUCCGGGCCCCAAAGCAGCAGCAGUAGCUGCAGCAGCUGCGAAUCCAGAUUGACCCACACCAAAAGUUUGGAAAACAGCAAAGGAGUUCAACAGGGGAAGAAGUAACGCAGAUGAUGGUUUUCCUCAAUGGCAAAGUAAGGUCGUUGAGGCAAAAGUGUAACGAACCAACACGCUGGGCGACGCUGCCAGCAUCCGUGUCAACGGGUACCCUAAUAUUAGGGCAACCACCGCAUCUAGGCCGUACAGCUGUACGGAGCCCGUUGCAAAAGGCUGUUGGAUUCACAGCGUUACCCUAAUAUGUACGGCACCUGAUGGGUAGCGACGCUACCAUGCUACAGUACUAUAUAUUACAGAAAGGUGUGUAUGUAUUUGUGUGUAUGUGUGUAUGUGUGUAAAACAUCACUAGCAGGCACGUGAUGGUGUUCCAUUGUCGCACUCACAUUGCUUGUGCGCCGCCGUUAAUGUUUGUGUGGGGGCCCCUACCCCCUAUGUUCUUUGUGCCGUUCUAGCGAUAUCCUCCGGACACCUGAGCAGCACAGCCCCCCAUCCGUCAAGUCACACACUUACCCGCCGCCAUAUAAUCGUUGGUCACCAAUGCGUACUGGGCGCAAGGAUCGACGGGCGAGUACGAACCGUCCCCGUUCGCAACCUCAAUGGCCGACACGCGCUGGUUGACCGGCUUGGUGGCGUCGUACGCAAAACGGAAGCCGCCCACCUGUCGAAUAAAGUGAAAGGAUGCAGUUACAUUAACAAACACAGCAAGCUGAAGGAAGCCAUUGUGGACGAGCCUCCGUACUUGUUUCCGUACGCCAUGUCAAGAGCUAGGGUGUUUGGACCUGCUAUUAAGACUUCUACCGUCGGCCCGUUCACACAUCAAGCAGUCGUACACGCAUUAACGCCGGUACGGCAGAUGGCCCUCGGGCCUUAACCCUUGCCGAGCCCUGUGGAAUAAAAUCCGUAGUCUCGUUCAGCUGAUCUUGUCUGUUCCCACCGUUUUCCUUCCUAAAGUGCAUAUCAUCUUACACAGUGCCGUACAUAUUUCCCCUCCGGUUUCUUCACUCAGCCUCUAAGCUGCCGUAAGGCUGGACACCGGUACCGAUCAGCGGCCCGGAUGGUGUUGCGGUCUUGAAGGAACACCCCAUCGCAGGACGGAUGCGGUUAAUAGUGCCAACUGCCUACUGCCAACUGCCAACCGCCAACUGCCAAAUUGCAGUACGGAAAUGUAUUUGCAUGGCCUAUUGUCACCAUCAUGUACCCCGUACACGGUAUCACCUCACCUGUGCAAACUGCCCGAUCGCCUCGCCCCCGGCAAUGUUGCCCUCAACGCUGUUCUCGAGAGCCGAUUUGAGGCCCCUGACGGAAAUGCUCUUGAUCACCAGGGUGUUGCCGUACGGCAGGGCGGCCGCGAUUUGGCCUGCGGUGUUGGUGUUCCCAUGUGUCAUUUUUUGUUCAACACCGUUUAUUAAAAACUUAUUAAACUAAGUAAUCAAUUAUUGACACUGUUUUCUGUGUGAGCUGCUAGUUCGGACCGUAUGUUGCAUGAACUGCAUUGGAAUCGUUGUUGAUGGGGUUGUGUUACACUGUGGGCGGCUCGUCCCGAUAAAGGACGAGCACGGGGGGCCUGACCGGGGACCGAAACACAGUGCAGGGUUGUAGGCUGUUACAGAGUGGGAGGCUUCUGAGCCACUUGAACACAAAGGAAUUGUGCCUGCAUUGCGUGACCCUGUCUACGAUAUGUAUGUACCGUCUCCGCAUACACAUCGGAAACGGUAAGUGCCCGGGUAGUUGCGAUGCAGCGGACACAUACAUUGAACAUGCCUACUGUGUACGACGCCGUACAUUCAGCAUACCUCCGGUCACCAGUCCAGCAGGGAUGUCUGCGCGAAUCGAACCAGAGUUCACCAUGCACAAAUCCGGCCUCACGCCUGUCGUCAUCUGUUCAUAUACGCCACCAUUUUAAGAAAAAGGAGGGAAGAGGGGUGCAAGGAGUAUAAGGGUGGGAGUCCCUUUGGGACAAGGCUUGGGAACAAUGGACGGCACGCAGCAGGACGGCACUGGCCCCAGCAUGGCGUAUUAUUCGCAUGCAGGUACGGCAGCACAGAUCCAUUUUCUGCGAUUUACAGAUGAUGCAUGCGUUUGUUUAUACAGAGCGUGUACGCCAUCCAAGAACCGCUUGCAGAUAGCAUCAGUCGAGUUGGUCAAAUAAGCUGGUCUUGCAGACACGCGUCUAGAUGCCCCGUGUCAGCGUGGGUGGGUUUUAGAACAUGCGGAUUUGGAGCUGAUUUCACGUUUGUUACAGGGCCCCGGGGGUCCCGUCCCCCACUACUACAUGUGAACCUUCGCGCACCUCGGCAUACCACAUCAUGGCGUCACAGACGAAGUCACCGAUGGGGGCCUCGCCCAGGCGAACAGUGGCCUUGUCGGAAACCAGGGUGUGCGACAGAGUGCCCAGUGCGCAGGAGGCGGUGGAGACGGGCUCCGCGGAGCAGAUGCCGCUGCUGCCGCCCAGGUCGCAGCGGUUGAUGCGGCCCUCGGCAGCAGCGUAGCCGGUGACCUGCAGGGACAGGAAGAGAGAGCCGUGAGGACCAUCGGGCAUGAGAAAGACGCGUGUGUGUGCACUGCGGCUCCAACCGCCCCACAUACAACGUAAUCACUAGUCACGCCAUACGUGCUUUAGACACUAUAAAUGUUUAGACGCUAUAUCUAUCUACCAUACAGGAUAUGCUCGGUACGCAACUUAUCGUACACGCGGCAUAUGCUACAUAUGCUACACAAGGGUUAGCGUAUAAACGACCUAUGAGACACCAGAGCCACACUCGGUAGCAACAACGGUAAAAGUACACGUUCCAAAGCCUGGCAUGAAUGGGGGCGCGGGGACCUGCUGAGGGGCGAAUGGGUCCCUGCGUAUCCCUUGGUACCACCUGCGGGGGAUUCAACGCGCACAUACACACACACACACACACACACACAGACACACGCACACACAGAC
rnacentral:lncRNA from 1 species